CUCUUCCGAUCUGGGCUAUCGCGAGCAAUCUCCCACUACACUAGUGACUUAGAGAGAGAGUGAGAUUAAGAGGAAGGCCAUAUAAUAUUGUAUAAAUGUAUAGAUGCUCCUCGCUAAUAAAUUGACCGACUUGAACUUAAA